AAGCGGGGACGACCCCGCCGCUCCAAUCGCCCGGGGACGGCCCCA
rnacentral:ncRNA from 1 species